rnacentral:rRNA from 1 species
GCAGCACGCCGCGUGCGGGAAGAAGGCUUUCGGGCUGUAAACCGCUUUCAGUGGGAACGAAACUGACGGUACCCACAGAAGAAGGAGCGGCCAACUAUGUGCCAGCAGCCGCGGUGAUACAUAGGCUCCAAGCGUUGUCCGGAUUUAUUGGGCGUAAAGAGCUCGUAGGCGGUUGAGUAAGUCGGGUGUGAAAACUUUGGGCUUAACCCAAAGAUGCCACUCGAUACUGUUUAACUAGAGUUCGGUAGGGGAGCGGGGAAUUCCUUGUGUAGCGGUGAAAUGCGCAGAUAUAAGGAGGAACACCGGUGGCGAAGGCGCCGCUCUGGGCCGAUACUGACGCUGAGGAGCGAAAGCGUGGGGAGCAAACAGGAUUAGAUACCCUGGUAGUCCACGCGGUAAACGGUGGUCACUAGGUGUGGGUCUCUAACCAAUGAGAUCCGCGCCGUCGCUAACGCAUUAAGUGACCCGCCUGGGGAGUACGGUCGCAAGACUA